rnacentral:lncRNA from 1 species
GUCCAUAUGAUUGAGAGACUUGAGCAAUUUUAUCCAUCAGUAGGUAAGCUAGGCUUAUUCUUAUGUUUCCUUUCCUAUGACUCAUCAUCUGUUUUGGCCAAACAAUUCAUUGUUUUUGUAUCUUUCUUCUUCUUUUGAUUGAUAUGUAUCGGGAACUCACUUUCUUUUGCUUAAGGGCUCCAUCUGCAUAUGUUUUUAUCUAAAGUUUCCCGUAAUAAUUAGAUAAGAUGUCCUAAAUUUGGUACUUUGUUUCAUCACUUGCUUUUGUUCGUUUCUGUUUGCUACAUGAGACAAAACUGAUAUGCCCAUCAUCAAGAUUUAGAUUUACUGCUGUUUUUUUCCGAUGAACAUUGCUCUUGUGGGCUUAGUUUGCAAAUCUUACAGUUGCCCUUUGCAAUGAUAAAAAGUUGUAUGAAGUUUCAAGUUAGUGUUGAAAUGAUUACUUUAUUUUGUCGAAAAAAGUUUGGCAAUCUUAAGCAUAAUCACAUGAUGUGUUUGGCGUUUCACAAAAAUGACAAAGGAGGGACGUCUCUACUCCACUCGCAUGCCCAUCCCAAAUACCCAUCACGGAGGACCCAAAUACCCAUCACAGAGGAGGGACGUCUCUACUCCACUCGCAUGCCCAUCCCAAAUACCCAUCACGGAGGACCCAAAUACCCAUCACAGAGGAGGGACUAGAAAUGCUGGAAUAGACAGUUACUUUUUUUUUUUUUAAACUGAUUAAGCAUCAGAUAUAUAUACAACUACACAGGUAUAUAUACAUGGGACUUAUAUUAUUACAUUUUUAUUACUCCACUCGCAUGCCCAUCCCAAAUACCCAUCACGGAGGAGGGAUGUCUCUACUCCACUCGCAUUUCGCAUUCGCAAGGAAGAAAGACAUUUAUAGAAAUCAAUACAUGGGACUUAUAUUAUUACAUUUUUAUUCUAUGAAGUACAUGCUCAUUCCAAAUACCCAUCACGGAGGAGGGAUGUCUCUACUCCACUCGCAUUUCGCAUUCGCAAGGAAGAAAGACAUUUAUAGAAAUCACCACACAAUUAUGUUUAAUUGGAGGAGGUUGAGUCCGUGGGGACUCGAACCAUUGCCCUCAUGGUCAUGCUUAACUUUUAGGGUAAUGGUCCACCACUGGACUACAAGUCCAAGUGGCGAAUAGACAGUUACUUACAAUUAUUUUAUGAUGUUGAUGUGAUUCAUCUUUACAAGUAAUGCAUGUACGGACCCA